UCGGACACUGAGUCUUUGUUCUGCAUAGGACUGCUGCUGCCACUUAAAGAGAUCGCAGAUAAUGUCCCCGGUUUAAGAUCAGUGCUCAAUGCACAUUAACUUUCUUUCUUCUUUCUUUUUUAAGCUCUGCCUCUAACCUACGGAGGGAUCACGCGGCAGUGGGGGGCAGAUAAAAGCCCUUUGGCCGAGGGUCACCUCCGUCCUUGUUGUUCACUUGAGAGCAGUGGAGAGGAAAACGGUCCCCACGGGCGGACUUUGGCUUCUGGAGCCGCGGAGCCCAGCGGUCCGGGCCUCCCCGAGCUCCGCCCGUGAGAAAAGCCUAGUUCCUGAGCCAGUGGAGUCGGUCCUCUCGCCCCUCCCGCUCCCACGCGGGUCCCCCCUUCAGCCACCGCUACUGCCACCACCUCGGUUCCACUCAAUCGAUUUUUGCUGCAUGUCAACACUUAUUACCGUGAGAAACUGAAGCCUCCUGCCAACAGCCAUGUAUGUGAGCUUGGAAGUGGAUUCUCCAACUCUCUAGAUGACUGCAGCCCUGGUCACUAACUUCACCCCAAGCCUGAGCUGCUCCGAGAUUCCUGACCCUCAAAACUGAGUGAAAUAAAUAUUUAUUGUUUCAACAAGUUAAA